AGUGAACGCUGGCGGUAGGCCUAACACAUGCAAGUCGAACGGCAGCACAGUAAGAGCUUGCUCUUACGGGUGGCGAGUGGCGGACGGGUGAGGAAUACAUCGGAAUCUACUUUUUCGUGGGGGAUAACGUAGGGAAACUUACGCUAAUACCGCAUACGACCUACGGGUGAAAGCAGGGGGUCUUCGGACCUUGCGCGAUUGAAUGAGCCGAUGUCGGAUUAGCUAGUUGGCGGGGUAAAGGCCCACCAAGGCGACGAUCCGUAGCUGGUCUGAGAGGAUGAUCGGCGACACUGGAACUGAGACACGGUCCAGACUACUACGGGAGGCAGCAGUGGGGAAUAUUGGACAAUGGGCGCAAGCCUGAUCCAGCCAUACCGCGUGGGUGAAGAAGGCCUUCGGGUUGUAAAGCCCUUUUGUUGGGAAAGAAAAGCAGCAGGUUAAUACCCCGCUGUUCUGACGGUACCCAAAGAAUAAGCACCGGCUAACUUCGUG
rnacentral:rRNA from 1 species